rnacentral:lncRNA from 1 species
AAGAGUUGACAGGCUUUGAGGUGAGGGUCAGGUUAGAAAAGUGGGUCCAUACGUGCCCUGCGCGGACUCCGACGCCCAAAGACACGCGCGCGCUGCGAUAAGCAAGUUACAAGGAUUCCACCCUCCAGUGCUCUCUACAACCUGGGGCUGAGGACGCUGAAGCCAAACUAAUUUUGCAAAUACACCUGCAUCCGGAGCAUGGCUGAAAGAUUAUCUCCAGAAGGACGGGAAUCUUAUAAAAAGACAGCCACCAAAGGAAACUAUACUACCACAGAGGAGCUGUUGGUGGUUCCUGCCUUGUGAGCUUUCCUUCUGCUGCACAAGGGAAUGUCAACAGGCUCAAUCAGGAUUGCUUAAGAGACAAACCUCCGGGCAAACACGUGACAUAAUUUCUAGACUGGGUGAAUCGAGAGGGUGUCAUGUGACCAGCUCACCAUGCUCCUGCCUCCGUUCCUUCUGGGCCAUAGUGGACUGCAUCCUUAAAUUAAAGGAUGCAUCCACCUCCAGGACUGAUGUUAAUGAAUGCUUUUGGAGGCAAGCUAUUGAGGGAGGAAGGAGAAGACUGGAGAUAGAGAUACCUCAGCAUCCUGGCACCACUCAGGAUGAAGUUGGAGAAACAGUUGCCAACAGAUCCCUGUAUUUCUUGGGAAGCUACUUCUCUAUCUCUCCAACUGUGCUACUCUACAUUUGGAAAGCAGGCAGUAGCAGCUAACAGGAGGGAGAAUACUUAAAAGAGCAUGGAUUUCCAUUUCAGAAGACCUGCCAGAGACAGGCUUCUCAGGAAACAGAAAGAACACAUUUGACCCUGCAAGAUUAAAGGACACUUCAGGAGAACCAUACUUCUGUAGAUAGACUUUCCCAGGCCGCACAAGUGCCCACCUCAGUGAUGAGAGACAUGUCAGAUGCCUGGCCUGACAGUCUUUGUUCAUCUGUAAAAUCUGAUAAUUAAACUGGUUUAGCAAAAGACAUAAUAUUCAUAAUUAGAAUGAGUCUGCAUUUCCUAGGCCUGAUGAAUUUUUUAGAACUACAUUAAGUGGCUAACUGAAAACAUGAAGAUCAAAGAAAAGGAUGAGUCAUGCUUCUUGAGGUAAAAGAGUGUCUGACAGAAUCUGUUGUCUCUGAAGACAUGAAAAUAAAGAAACAGGAACCAUAUGAUGCCUUUCUUAUUCUACUCUAAGAAAGCAAUGGAAGGCAUGAUGAAACAAUCUCUACAGAAACAUAAAUGUCAAAAUGUGAGCAUUUUUGCCUUUAUUUCAGUCUAAAAAUAAAUAAAUAAAAUGUCAAAGA